rnacentral:misc_RNA from 1 species
GAAAUGCGAUAAGUAAUGUGAAUUGCAGAAUUCAGUGAAUCAUCGAAUCUUUGAACGCAACUUGCGCUCCUUGGUACUCCGAGGAGCAUGCCUGUUUGAGUGUCAUUUAAUUCUCAACCCCUCCAGUUCUUUUUGACUGGUUAGGAGGCUUGGAUGUGGGGGGAUUAACUGCGGGCCUCCUCAGAGGUCGGCUCCCCUGAAAUGCAUUAGCGGAACCGUUUGCAGAACCGUCACUGGUGUGAUAACUAUCUACGCCAAAGGACAUCUGCUCUCUGAUUAGUUCUGCUUCUAAUUGUCCUUCACUUUGGACAAACCAUAUACUCAUUACUUGACCUCAAAUCAGGUAGGACUACCCGCUGAACUUAAGC